UACAGAGGGUGCGAGCGUUAAUCGGAAUUACUGGGCGUAAAGCGUGCGCAGGCGGUUUUGUAAGCCAGAUGUGAAAUCCCCGGGCUUAACCUGGGAAUGGCAUUUGGGACUGCAAGGCUGGAGUGCGGCAGAGGAGACUGGAAUUCCUGGUGUAGCAGUGAAAUGCGUAGAUAUCAGGAGGAAUACCGAUGGCGAAGGCAGGUCUCUGGGCUGACACUGACGCUCAUGCACGAAGCGUGGGGAGCAAACAGG
rnacentral:rRNA from 1 species